GAUGAACGCUCGCGGCAGGCCUAACACAUGCAAGUCGAGGGAGAAGCCCUUUCGGGGGCAGAAACCGGCGCACGGGUGCGUAACGCGUAUGCAACCUACCUUUCACAGGGGGAUAGCCCGAAGAAAUUUGGAUUAAUACCCCAUAAUAUUAUUGGAUGGCAUCAUUUGAUAAUUAAAACUGCGGUGGUGAAAGAUGGGCAUGCGUCCUAUUAGCUAGUUGGAGUGGUAACGGCACCCCAAGGCUACGAUAGGUAGGGGUCCUGAGAGGGAGAUCCCCCACACUGGUACUGAGACAGGGACCAGACUCCUACGGGAGGAAGCAGUGAGGAAUAUUGGUCAAUGGUCGGAAGACUGAACCAGCCAUGCCGCGUGCAGGAAGAAUGCCUUAUGGGUUGUAAACUGCUUUUAUAUGGGAAGAAUAAGGCGUACGUGUACGUUGAUGACGGUACCAUAUGAAUAAGCAUCGGCUAACUCCGUG
rnacentral:rRNA from 1 species